UUUAUCUCAAUUUGAGCUUGAACUAUUUAUAUCGAGCUAUUACAUGUAUAAUCCUUGCUGUAGUUCUUAGUUCUUUAGUUGCUACUCUGAAUUCUUAGCUCAGUUUACCGAUACUUGGAAUUUAUGAAUUUGUGAAUUCUAGUUGUAUAUAAAUUUACUUAAAUUUAGUUAAUUUUACUUUUAAUUCAUCCCAUGCAGAUUUUAUUACUCCUUGCAAAUGCUAAGGUACAUCAAAAUAUGUACAUCGAGAGUGUUUGGAUUAUUGGCGUGCGGUUAAGGUUCUAAGCUAUGAGCAUCAUAUUUUGAGACUAAGUUUGGGCAGAACAGAAGAGCAUUGAGUGUGAUCAAUUAGAAUAUAGUGCAAGGUACAUGCCUAUGCCUCUCAUUUUGGAGCCUUCUGCUUCUGAGUUCGUCAAGCUUCAAAAACCCCAACACUCAGAUUUGGGAUUGUCGAAGUUACUUUGGAUAGGCCUAAAAUUAAGAAUGCCAUAGACACCAAAUUAAUGAGAGGGUUAAAACAUGUAUUAGAGUUAAUCAAUCAAGAUUCUUCCACUAAUGUUGCCAUCGUCACCAGUUCAGUUCCUGGUGUCUAUUGUACUGGUGCCGAUUUGAAGGAACGCAAGGCGUUUAUUGCAUUUGAGGUUCGGGAAUAUUCAAAAGCUCUUUGUGCAAUUUUCUCAUUUCUAAAGAUACAAUCUGUAAAACCUGGAUCUCUUUUCCAGGGUUAUUCCUGGAAAAUCACAACUAGUAAAGGUGGAUAUAGUCUACAUGAGCUAUUGAAAGAUCGAAAAAUUAUUCUCAGUGAAAUUUCUUGAGCAUGACUUUCUCUUAGAGAAGUUAUCUCAUGUGGCUUCAAUAUAUGUUAUCAAUGAAGAAAGUGAGCCAUCGUUCUUCAUUCGCUUCUUUAAAUGGGAUUCUGGAAAACCUGUAAUGUUGGGAAAUUCAUUUCAAAGGAAGCUUACAAUAGUGAAAAAUAGGGGUGCUGCACUUCUAGAUGUACUUGGAAUUCCAUCGGGAUUCGCCACAAGAAAGUGGUUUCCUUUGACAAUUUUAUGAGUCACUGUGGUUUAGUUGCUAAUGAACCCAUUUCUGAUGUUGGGUUGAGUCAUUUGAAGUGAAUAAUGAUGAUGAUGAUAGUGCAUCAUCAGAAAAUGGCAUCUUGAUCAACAAGAAGAAUUUGUAUGAUUCUGACACUCUUUUGUGAUAUAUUCUUUACUCAAAUUAGCAUAUUUUGUCAAUUAAUCAUGAGUCCUUUUAUUUUUGAAUGCUAAUUAGAUAUGUUGUAAU